rnacentral:tRNA from 1 species
GGCUCGUUGGUCUAGGGGUAUGAUUCUCGCUUAGGGUGCGAGAGGUCCCGGGUUCGGAUCCCGGACGAGCCC